CGGAGGAUCCAAGCGUUAUCCGGAAUCAUUGGGUUUAAAGGGUCCGUAGGCGGUCCUGUAAGUCAGUGGUGAAAGCCCAUCGCUCAACGGUGGAGCGGCCAUUGAUACUGCAGGACUUGAAUUACUGGGAAGCAACUAGAAUAUGUAGUGUAGCGGUGAAAUGCUUAGAGAUUACAUGGAAUACCAAUUGCGAAGGCAGGUUGCUACCGGUGGAUUGACGCUGAUGGACGAAAGCGUGGGUAGCGAACAGGAUUAGAUACCCUGGUAGUCCACGCCGUAAACGAUGGAUACUAGCUGUUGGGAGCGAUCUCAGUGGCUAAGCGAAAGUGAUAAGUAUCCCACCUGGGGAGUACGAACGCAAGUUUG
rnacentral:rRNA from 1 species